ensembl:snoRNA
AUGAGUGAUGACAUAAACAUUCUUCACUUUGACCUGAUUGUCCAGUGAUGAUAAGCUUCAGUCUGACA